rnacentral:rRNA from 1 species
GACGAACGCUGGCGGCGUGCCUAAUACAUGCAAGUAGAACGCAGUUGCGAACGGGUGAGGAACGCGUAGGUAACUGCCUGGUAGCGGGGGAGAACUAUUAGAACCGAUAGCUAAUACCGCAUAAUACCAGAUGGACCUUGGUUGUAUGAGCUAGUGGGGGGGGUAACUGCUUUCCAAGGGCAAGAUUAAUAGCCGACCUGAGAGGGGGAUCUGCCAAACCGGGACUGGGGCACGGCCCAGACUCCUACGGGAGGCAGCAGUAGGGAAACUUCGGAAAUGGACGGAAGUCUGACCGAGCCACGCCGCGUGAGUGAAGAAGGUUUUCGGAUCGUAAAGCUCUGUUGUAAGAGAAGCGGUAUCUUACCAGAAAGGGACGGCUAACUACGUGCCAGCAGCCGCGGUAAUUC